UACGUAGGGGGCAAGCGUUGUCCGGAAUUAUUGGGCGUAAAGCGCGCGCAGGCGGUACUUUAAGUCCGGUGUUUAAACCGUAAGGGCUCGAACCUUGGGUCGACACGGGAAACUGGAGAACUGGAGUGUAGGAGAGGAAAGUGGAAUUCCACGUGUAGCGGUGAAAUGCGUAGAGAUGUGGAGGAACACCAGUGGCGAAGGCGACUUUCUGGCCUAUAACUGACGCUGAGCGCGAAAGCGUGGGGAGCAACAGG
rnacentral:rRNA from 1 species